rnacentral:rRNA from 1 species
ACAGAGGGUGCGAGCGUUGUUCGGAAUUACUGGGCGUAAAGCGCGCGCAGGCGGGUCCUGUAAGUCGGAAGUGAAAUUUCGGAGCUCAACUCCGAAGCUGCUUCUGAUACUGCGGAUCUAGGGACUGGUAGAGGCUGGUAGAAUUACAGGUGUAGCGGUGAAAUGCGUAGAUAUCGGAAAGAACACCAGUGGCGAAGGCGGCUUCCUGGACUCAUACUGACGCUGAGGCGCGAAAGCGUGGGGAGCAAACAGGA